CCUACGGGAGGCAGUAGUAGGGAAUAUUGCGCAAUGGGGGAAACCCUGAAGCAGCAACGCCGCGUGGAGGAUGAAGGUUUUCGGAUUGUAAACUCCUUUUGUUAGAGAAGAUAAUGACGGUAUCUAACGAAUAAGCACCGGAUAACUCCGUGCCAGCAGCCGCGGUAAUACGGAGGGUGCAAGCGUUACUCGGAAUCACUGGGCGUAAAGAGCGCGUAGGCGGGUUAGCAAGUCAGAUGUGAAAUCCUAUGGCUUAACCAUAGAACUGCAUUUGAAACUGUUAUUCUAGAGUAUGGGAGAGGUAGGUGGAAUUCUUGGUGUAGGGGUAAAAUGCGUAGAGAUCAAGAGGAAUACUCAUUGCGAAGGCGACCUGCUAGAACAUAACUGACGCUGAUGCGCGAAAGCGUGGGGAGCAAACAGGAUUAGAUACCCCAGUAGUC
rnacentral:rRNA from 1 species